rnacentral:lncRNA from 1 species
GAAGAGUGUUUGAUGGUUGGGGAGUGGUAGAGAACUAGGCAAAGAGGGUGGAAGAAGGUGGAGUGGCUUUUAUGUUUUCUAGGCACUAGAAUGGUGUUUUUGGGGUGUUUUGCUUCCUAGGGUGUGUAUGGACGAAUUUUCUGUGAUAAAAUGAUGAAUAUCGGGGAUUGUCCUUUGGCCAAGGGGUGUAAACAUGUAUUUAUAGGCCCCAAAAACCUUAGAAAAUCAGGUUAGGUUAAGGAUGAAAUGCAUGGUAAUUUGUGUGUGUGGUGUGCAAUGGUCCAAGGGUGAAAAUGAAGUGAUGAUGCAAAGUGUGAAGGGUAAAAUGGAGUGGUCUUGAAGCUAGGGAGCAUGAAUGAUUGUGUACAUUGCAUAGAGAUGGAAAGGGAGGUGAAAAUGUGUCAAUAAAUGGGUCAAAGGUGCAGCAACAUGUGGUACACAAGGCAUGGGAUUCUAAAUGUGAAUGAUGGAGCAUCAAUUGGUGCAUGUAAUGGAUGUAAAUGUUGUCUAAAAUCUAAUGAGUGAAGGGAACAAGAGGUAACAAGCAAUUGAGUGUAAUAAUUAAAUGAAUUGAAGCAUGAAAUUAAAAAUUAUGUAGGGGACAAGAGUGAUCAAGCAUGGCAUGGAAUCCAAAGGGAAUUCUAUGUGGUUUGCAUGGCAAGGAAUGCAAGUUGGGGUGACAGAUUUUUGGGCUAUUUUCUUCAUCUUUUGGACCAUAAUUCUUCAUAUUCUUGGCCUCUUUAGUUCUCAAAUUCGUCCAUCCACUUGGCCCAUGCAUUUGCUAUCCAUUCCAAGCCCGAAACAUGCUCCAAAGGCCUCCAAAAUGCAUCUUCUUGCAUACUUUGUACUUAGAGUCUGAAAACACAUGAAAAUGACUUUAAACAUUAAAAUAACUAAGGAAACACGACAUAAAUGCACAAAAACAAGCCAACUAAGUCACAUAAAUAUGCUCCUAUCAAAUUCCCCCACACUUAGCUUUUGCUAGUCCUCGAGCAAAACAAAGAGAUAAAACGAAACAAAACAAAUAAAACACAACCUAAACCUUCCAACAUUUGCCUCAGGGAUUUCCAAUGCACAUGACAUGUUAAAAAUCAUUAUCCCCACAGAUUUGAGUCAUCUUCACACUUAAGCACGUACUUAAUCAUAGUCACCACUUACUUGUUCACAAUUAAUCGAUUAAAAAUAACGUUUUUGAUGUAGUAACAUGCCUUAGAAAAAAUCACUCAAUUCCUUACAAGAUAUGCACUCAAUUUUCACUCAGAUUUUCUAACUACACACCCUAUACUAGUUAUAUGUGAGAAGAUUGAUGUAGAUAUGAAAACGAACGCUCACAUAUAUGUAUCACAAAGAAAGCAAUUUCUGGAGUUAAUAAGCAUGUUUAGAUAUGAUCUCAUGAAUGGAAUGCUACUACUUAGAUGCGAGAACCAGUGACACCAUAUGCUCAUACCAAAUUCAAACUCCACAUAUUGAAACGCAUGACACUCAAGAUGAAGUUAAGGGUUGUAACGGGGCUUGGGGUGAUGGCUAACAAAUGAAGGAUAAGGAUAACAAUCGUUCUUAAAGCAAUAGCAAGUAAAGUAAUGAAAUUGAAACUUAGAAUUCACUUAGAUUGCAGAAAUCAGCUUUUAGACACAAAGGGAAAAUUCAGGCAAUAAUUAGGGCCGAAUUCUAUGUUUUGGACUCUUUCUUCAACAAGCAGCACUUUAAAAACUUUUUUUUUUUUUUUUUUUUUUCUCAACUCUUCUUUUCUUUUCAACAAGCAUAAUAACUCACACUUCCCCCACACUUGUUUUCUGCCAUACAUUAAUCAAAACAAAUUCAAUUUGAAUCAUGUUUUACUAUGCUUCAAGAACAAGGGUAUGGAUGGUCCUAAACUAGGCUAGGUAAGGAUAAUGUGGUUUAACAAAGAAUGUAGGCUAUCAAGGCUCAAUGGGGUUAACUUAAACAUAUAACGAUAUGGGAUACAUGGCAGUUUGGCUUUUGGUGGUGGUAACUACACAACUUCAUCUUGAAUAUGUUUUAUGCAAAUCAAUAGCAUGCUUUGAAUGAAAUAGGCAUGAGUUCUAGCAUUUGGAACUAAAUGAUGAAACGCCUUCUAAGUAAUAACCAAGCAAAGAAUAAUGAGAUCAUGCAACGACUUUAGAAAACAAGAAUGCACAGAUUUUAACUCUCCAAAUAAACGUUUAAGCUCAAGUCUCACAAGGCUGUAGCGUUAGUUUGAGUUCUUUCCUUUAAGCAUGUUACAAAAACUAAUUUUUUUUUCUUUUAUGAUUACAUGUGAUUUCAUAAGUUAUAACCACAACCACGCAUAAAUAAAGAGUAAAUCAAACUUUCAACCAUGUUUAUAACUCUCUUUAACAGUCAUGCAAUUACAAACUGAAUCCUCAUCAUUGUGUUGGAAGGUACCCUAAGACACAAAUAAGCACACAAAAACAACUCUUUUUGGGAUUUUCAAAAAUAAUUUUUCAAAUUUUUAUGAAUUUUCGGAUUUUUAUGUCAAAACACACUGAAACACUCCAAAACAGCUUAAAAAUACUUAAAACAACAAAGAACAAUACUAGAAGUAAUGGGUGAUAAAUUUCUACGAAUUUCAUGCAAAACAAUGGUUACCCCCCCCACACUUAAAUCAAACAUUGUCCUCAAUGUUUCAAGCAUAUACUCACACCAAAAACAAGCAAAUAAUAAACGACAAAUAAACAUGACAAAUAUGGCAAAGUAAAAACCAGACAGAGUAGAGUUUAAGAACGCAAAUCUGGUUUUGGAGAUAGUUGAUCUUGUUGACUUUCCACAGCUUUGAUCUUGAACGGGGUGAUGUUGCAGUUCCUUAUUUGUUCUCCAAGCAGAUGUGGCAGCUUCUCUAGUUCUUCAGCUCGGACUCCUUGUGCUGGGUUGAUUGUACGAGCUGCAUUCUUCUCUGCUUGUUUCUUCUGUACGUUGUCUCCACAUGCUGCUGGUAUCAUUUUCGCUUGCCUUAUCUGUUCUUCAGGUAGAUGUGGCAGCUUCUUUGGAAGUACAUCAGCAGUGGAAGACGAGUACUCGAGAGCAAUUUCUCCAUGUCCUGCAGGUUAGAACAAAGACAAGGAAAAGGACAUGGAGAAUGCAUGAUAUGAGAUACUCUUGCUUUCAACCUUUAUGAUAUGAAAUACUUUUGCUCUGGAUGGGUUGUUUGCAGGGGUAUCCCAGGGAAUGAGAAAUACAUAGUGACUUGAGAGGGUGUGUUGGAAAUACAUUCUCGAAGAUGAAGAAGUGCUGAGAGGGUGUGCCUUUGCUGUGGAAGGCGAAGGUAGAUACUUAUAGGACUUUUCUUCACAACCGGAACUAUUCCCUCACUCAUUGUCGGCAGCCGGUGGAUGGAUGAAUAGUAAAAAUUACGCGCUUUCUGACAAAGCUGCCCGUAAUUUCCGCAAAGCUGCCAGUUGCAUGUGACGGGUGACGACACGUCUGGACAAUUUGAUCUUUUGAAAUUCGGUGUUCGGCUCGUGGUUUCUGAGCAAGCCCAGCCUUUAAGAAAUGAAAUGCCUCUUUUGAGAAAAGAAUCCGACUUUUGAGAAAGGAGCCCCGACUCUUCGAUUUGCGAGAGGACGCUUCUCUGAGGAGCGCCUCUUUGAUUUCUUCUUUUUAUAGAGGCGUUAAUUUUGUUCCACAACACACUUGAGCUCCCUCCUGUAAACUUCCAAAAUCUUAAUCAGUCCGACUCUCUUCUUUCUUCACCACCUUCAGAAAAUGUCUGGCCCUUCCGAUCGUCGUUUUGACUUGAACAUUGGUGAAGAGGCAGCUCCGCCUUCACCAGACAACAUAUGGCGCCCAUCUUUCAUAUCCCCUACUGGUCCUCUCACCGUUGGGGAUUCGGUGAUGAAAAAUGACAUGACCGCUGCGGUGGUGGCCCGGAACCUUGUCACCCCAAGAGAUAACAGACUGCUCGCUAGACGGUCUGAUGAAUUGGCGGUUAAGGAGUCUCUGGCUCUUAGCGUGCAGUGUGCGGGUUCUGUGUCCAACAUGGCCCAACGCCUAUUUGCUCGAACCCGUCAUGUUGAAUCGUUGGUGGCUGAAAUACAGAGUCUCAAAGAGGAGAUUAGAGGACUCAAGCAUGAAAAUAAACAAUUGCAUAAGCUUGCACACAGUUAUGCCACAAACAUGAAGAGGAAAAUUGACCAGCUGCAGGAAAAUGAUGGUCAGAUUUUACUUGAUCACCGGAGGUUUGUGGGUUUGUUCCAACCGCAUCUGCCUUCGUCUUCUGGGGCGGCACCGCGUAGUGAAGCUCCAACUGAUCAACCUCUGAUACCUCCUCCUUCCGUGGCCCCACCGACUAUUGAGACUCCGCCGACUACUGCAACUCCGCCGACUAUUGCGACCUCUCCCAAUCAACCUUUGUGAAGGCUCUUCCUCUUGUAUUAUGUUAUGUUUCUUUAUUUCCCAGAUUCCUGUUCAUUUCAUGAAGUUUAAUGUCAAAAAUCCCUUGCAUAUUUGUUAAUAUUUCAAAAUAGAAAAUCAUAACCAAAAAUAAUUAAACAAACAAAAAUAAAAAAAUGACAAUCAUGGCAAAAUAAAAAUGCAGAAAAGUGAAGGUUUUUAGAAACGCAAAACUGAUUGUAGAGCGAUUCAUAGAUCUUCCUUUUUUUGAAUACAUGGGUUGCCUCCCAAGAAGCGCUUUCUUUAACGUCUUGCAGCCGGACGAUACUUCCUUCUAAACUUGGAUAGGGCCCAUAGCAUGGAAUUGAUCCUUGAAAUGGACGGUGAUACUUGACGUGAUCCGGCAAUGGGUUUAAAUUCUAGUGUAGGUGCCUGAAUCAUCAAAAAUCAACAAGUUAGUAUAUACUAAAAUCGAAAUUGGAGAAAAUGGCUUACUUGCUUUGUCCGACAAGAAAUCAAUGACAAACACCACAUUUUUGAAAGUUUCAGGGAUAUUGGACUUGGCCAAAUUGAAUGUGAUGGUUGGGACUUGUCCCAUGUCAUAAAAUUCAACUUCUUUAGGAAUGGUUGUCUCAAGCACAUCCUCUUUGAUGCAUUCUAGACAUUCCCCAUCCACUUCUUUCUCUUGAUUCUUUGGAAAGGUUUCAAAGAUGCCUUUCUCACCCUCUUCUUCCUUGGAUUGCAUGAUCCUGCAAGGAAUAAAGACAUUUAGUGGAACGGGGUCAGGACGAAUUGAAUUUGGGCUUACCUUGGUUGUAGUGGACUGCAUAGAGAGCAUAUGGGGAUGCGGCAAGGGUGUUGGGGCUAGGGUAGGCUGCAGCAAUGGUGGUUCUUCCUUUGCCGUGGCCUUGUUAUCCUCCUCUUCUUCGAGCAGUAACUGUUCAUCCAUGUUUUGGCUUGGUUUGGACAUCUUGGGUUCAUCUCCAACCUCUAUGCCACUUUCCAAGUUGUUAGCUUCAAUAAUUUCAACAGUUGAGUCAGUUACUUCACUUUGUUCUUGCAUUUGCCCCAUGAAUUCCGCGAUCUCUCCCAUUUGAUUCUUCAAUUCGCUCAUCACUUGGGCUUGAUUUUGUGAUUCCUGCGUCAAAGAAGUUAGUACAUCAAGAAAUUGAGCACAAUCUAUUGACGAACCUGAAUUUGAUUGGAAUUGUUGCGGGGCAGGUUGUGGUGGCUGCAUAGGCGUUGUAUAGAACUCCUCAUAUGGCUGCCAAUAUUCUCCUUGUUGAGCCUCCUUGGCUUGAUUUUGUGAGCCCUGCGCCAAAGAAUUUAAUUCAUUAAGAAUUUGUUCAUAAUUUAUUGACGAACCUGAGUUUGGUUGGGUAUAUUGUGUAUAAGGUUGUGGUGGCUGAGCAGGGCUUGAAUAGAACUCAUUAUAUGGCUGCCAAUAUCCUUCGUGUUGAACUGGUUGAGGUUCCCACCACAUAGUGUUUGAAUGAUCCCUCCAAUCUGAAUUAUAUACGUGUUGGAAAACAAGUUGUUCAUUGAUUGAUUAUGAUCAUGAUAACUCUCCCAACUCCUUUGUGGAUGUUGAUCUGCUUGAUAUCCUUGCGUAUAGGACACAUCGAAUGUAGGGGUGCUUUUGUAUUGUGGUCCUUUCGAUGUACUGUGAUAAUUGAGAAGUAAGAAUUGCCAUUUGAGCUUGAAGAUUAGCAAUUGCCAUGUCUUACUUCUUUUAGUACCUGAUAUCAAAGAAAUAAAACUAAAUCAAAUAUCAUAAGUAAACAAAACAGGGUAAUUAUAAAAAAUAAAAAAUAAUAAAAUAAAAAAUAAAAAUAAAAAAUAAAAAUAAAAAUAAAAAAAUAAAAUUAAAAAAAAUAAAAAAAUAAAAUAAAAACUAAACAAUUUAAACAAGACUCAAGACAAGGGAUUAGCAACUUUGCUAAUCCCCGGCAACGGCGCCAAAAUUUGAUGCGUAAAAUAAGUUAACACACAAAAUUAAACCCUCUUUUUAUCAAUUGUAGUAAAGUAUGUAAGUAGGGAUCGUUCUAGGCCGGGGAUUAGGAGGGAUUGCUAAAUCACUUGGAAACUGACUUGAAAACGUAAAAACAAAAUUUAAAACACUAAACUAGACUCAAAGAAUGCAAAACUAUACUUUAAAAUACUUAAACAAACAUAAAACUCAAAACAGCAACCUAAUGACUCAAAACUGCCUAAAAACCACUUUCUGGGCAGUUUUGAGAACCUAACAAGAACUUGGACGAAAUUGGAUGAAAACUUGAAUCAAAACACUUAGAAACACAAAUCAAAACACUUUCUAACUAAUCUAAGACUUCAAAAUAAAGGGGGAUUUGUUUUGGACGAAAAUUGAAAACAAAACAGAAACUUUAAAACAAAACAGAUUGUAAAACGUUUUUGGAUGAAAAGGAUGGAUAAAAGGCUAGUUAGGAGGUUCUUCUCCACACAUGACACACUUGCAAACAAAAUGAUUUUUCAGUUGUUCUUUCAAUAAAUUAUGAAGACUCAACACCCCAAGUUAAUUAGAUACGCUUAAAUUAACCUUCAAGUUCUCCUUAAGUUAAUGAAUUGGAUGGAAAAGCGCAUACAACAAUUCAAAGCAUUUUCUCAAAGGUUCCUUACGUGAUGAGCACAAUAAAGAUACAAUCAAGAAUCAUGAAGCACAAUGAGAACUAUAAGUGUUGACGAGGCAUUCGUUACUAUGAUGAGCAUGAAACUAGUGCCAAGAAUUCAUUCAACGCGAUCGUUUUCAAGCGACCUUCACUACUUGUGAUUAUAAGAUUGUAACUAUUAGGUGAAACUCCCUCAUAAUCUAGCAUCAUAUUCAUGCAUGAAAACUAAGCGUGCACUCUCAAUCAACAUACACAAAUAAGUUAUCAAUCAAGUAGAUGAACGAAUUGAAUCCGCAACUUAUGAAAUAACAACUGAAUGUAAUCAAAUCAUAUUGCAAGCAUGUACAUGGUUUCGAAUCACCCCCUAACUAAGAGGGGUUUAGUUCCUCAUACUCACAAAGCAAAGAUACAUAAAAUUAGACAUUAAAAUCAAAGGAAAGAAAACACCUAAAAUGCUCCAACUUGGUAGCAAGUGCAUCCAAGAUUCCUCCUUUCCCUUGCUUGCGGCAUGAAGCUUGUGGACAGAUUUUUGGGUGGAUUUAUGGUGUAGAAUGGAUGGGGAAUUUUGUGGAAGGGUUUAGGGUGAGAGUGGAAGAGUGUUUGAUGGUUGGGGAGUGGUAGAGAACUAGGCAAAGAGGGUGGAAGAAGGUGGAGUGGCUUUUAUGUUUUCUAGGCACUAGAAUGGUGUUUUUGGGGUGUUUUGCUUCCUAGGGUGUGUAUGGACGAAUUUCUGUGAUAAAAUGAUGAAUAUCGGGGAUUGUCCUUUGGCCAAGGGGUGUAAACAUGUAUUUAUAGGCCCCAAAAACCUUAGAAAAUCAGGUUAGGUU